UACGUAGGGGGCUAGCGUUGUCCGGAAUCAUUGGGCGUAAAGAGCGUGUAGGCGGCCCGGUAAGUCCGCUGUAAAAGUCCAAGGCUCAACCUUUGAAUGUCAGUGGAUACUGCCGGGCUAGAGUCCGGAAGAGGCGAGUGGAACUCCUGGUGUAGCGGUGGAAUGCGCAGAUAUCAGGAAGAACACCAACGGCGAAGGCAGCUCGCUGGGACGGUACUGACGCUGAGACGCGAAAGCGUGGGGAGCGAACAGG
rnacentral:rRNA from 1 species